rnacentral:rRNA from 1 species
UACGUAGGCAGCGAGCGUUGUUCGGAGUUACUGGGCGUAAAGAGUGCGUAGGCGGUUUUCUAAGUUUGGUGUGAAAUCUCCCGGCUUAACUGGGAGGGUGCGCCGAAAACUGGAAGGCUUGAGUAUGGGAGAGGUAAGCGGAAUUCCUGGUGUAGAGGUGAAAUUCGUAGAUAUCGGGAGGAACACCGGUGGCGAAGGCGGCGACCUGGGUAGAUACUGACGCUGAGGCGCGAAAGCGUGGGGAGCAAACAGG